rnacentral:sRNA from 1 species
AUAUAAUAUUCAAAUAUUAUCGAUAAAAAUUUAUUUUGUAUCUUACACCCGCCUAAAUAGGCGGGCCUUAUCUAGUUGAAUAUAAAUCUUAAA